GUGGGGAAUAUUGGGCAAUGGGGGCAACCCUGACCCAGCGACGCCGCGUGAGGGAAGAAGGCCUUAGGGUCGUAAACCUCUGUUGUGUGGGAAGAAGGAAGUGACGGUACCACACGAGGAAGUCCCGGCUAACUACGUGCCAGCAGCCGCGGUAAUACGUAGGGGACGAGCGUUGUCCGGAAUUACUGGGCGUAAAGGGCGCGUAGGCGGUCAUUUAAGUCAGCUGUGAAAUGGUCCGGCUCAACCGGAUCAUGCGGUUGAAACUGGAUGACUGGAGGGAUGGAGAGGCAAGUGGAAUUCCCAGUGUAGCGGUGAAAUGCGUAGAUAUUGGGAAGAACACCGGUGGCGAAGGCGACUUGCUGGCCAGCAACUGACGCUGAGGCGCGAAAGCCAGGGGAGCAAACGGGAUUAGAUACCCUAGUAGUCC
rnacentral:rRNA from 1 species